GACGAACGCUGGCGGCGUGCUUAACACAUGCAAGUCGAACGGAAAGGCCCCUUUGGGGGUACUCGAGUGGCGAACGGGUGAGUAACACGUGAGUAACCUGCCCUUGACUUCGGGAUAACUUCAGGAAACUGGGGCUAAUACCGGAUAGGAAUCCUUGCUGCAUGGUGGGGGUUGGAAAGCUUCAGCGGUUUUGGAUGGACUCGCGGCUUAUCAGCUUGUUGGUGGGGUAGUGGCUUACCAAGGCUUUGACGGGUAGCCGGCCUGAGAGGGCGACCGGCCACAUUGGGACUGAGAUACGGCCCAGACUCCUACGGGAGGCAGCAGUGGGGAAUAUUGCACAAUGGGCGGAAGCCUGAUGCAGCAACGCCGCGUGCGGGAUGACGGCCUUCGGGUUGUAAACCGCUUUCAGCAGGGGCGAAGCUUUUGUGACGGUACCUGCAGAAGAAGCACCGGCUAACUACGUG
rnacentral:rRNA from 1 species